GGUAGUCCACGCUGUAAACGAUGGGCACUAGGUGUGGGGGGUGUCGACUCCCUCCGUGGCCGAAGCUAACGCAUUAAGUGCCCCGCCUGGGGAGUACGGCCGCAAGGCUAAAACUCAAAGGAAUUGACGGGGCCCGCACAAGCAGCGGAGCAUGUGGUUUAAUUCGACGCAACGCGAAGAACCUUACCCAGCCUUGACAUGUGCCUGCACACGCCGGAAACGGCGCUCCUUCGAGGGUGCACACAGAUGCUGCAUGGCUGUCGUCAGCUCGUGCCGUGAGGUGUUGGGUUAAG
rnacentral:rRNA from 1 species